GAGUUUGAUCCUGGCUCAGGACGAACGCUGGCGGCGUGCCUAAUACAUGCAAGUAGAACGCUGAAGAGAGGAGCUUGCUCUUCUUGGAUGAGUUGCGAACGGGUGAGUAACGCGUAGGUAACCUGCCUUGUAGCGGGGGAUAACUAUUGGAAACGAUAGCUAAUACCGCAUAACAAUAGGUGACACAUGUCAUUUAUUUGAAAGGGGCAAUUGCUCCACUACAAGAUGGACCUGCGUUGUAUUAGCUAGUAGGUGAGGUAACGGCUCACCUAGGCGACGAUACAUAGCCGACCUGAGAGGGUGAUCGGCCACACUGGGACUGAGACACGGCCCAGACUCCUACGGGAGGCAGCAGUAGGGAAUCUUCGGCAAUGGGGGCAACCCUGACCGAGCAACGCCGCGUGAGUGAAGAAGGUUUUCGGAUCGUAAAGCUCUGUUGUAAGCCAAGAACGAGUGUGAGAGUGGAAAGUUCACACUGUGACGGUAGCUUACCAGAAAGGGACGGCUAACUACGUGCCAGCAGCCGCGGUAAUACGUAGGUCCCGAGCGUUGUCCGGAUUUAUUGGGCGUAAAGCGAGCGCAGGCGGUUUAAUAAGUCUGAAGUUAAAGGCUGUGGCUCAACCAUAGUUCGCUUUGGAAACUGUCAAACUUGAGUGCAGAAGGGGAGAGUGGAAUUCCAUGUGUAGCGGUGAAAUGCGUAGAUAUAUGGAGGAACACCGGUGGCGAAAGCGGCUCUCUGGUCUGUAACUGACGCUGAGGCUCGAAAGCGUGGGGAGCGAACAGGAUUAGAUACCCUGGUAGUCCACGCCGUAAACGAUGAGUGCUAGGUGUUGGAUCCUUUCCGGGAUUCAGUGCCGCAGCUAACGCAUUAAGCACUCCGCCUGGGGAGUACGACCGCAAGGUUGAAACUCAAAGGAAUUGACGGGGGCCCGCACAAGCGGUGGAGCAUGUGGUUUAAUUCGAAGCAACGCGAAGAACCUUACCAGGUCUUGACAUCCCGAUGCUAUUUCUAGAGAUAGAAAGUUACUUCGGUACAUCGGUGACAGGUGGUGCAUGGUUGUCGUCAGCUCGUGUCGUGAGAUGUUGGGUUAAGUCCCGCAACGAGCGCAACCCCUAUUGUUAGUUGCCAUCAUUCAGUUGGGCACUCUAGCGAGACUGCCGGUAAUAAACCGGAGGAAGGUGGGGAUGACGUCAAAUCAUCAUGCCCCUUAUGACCUGGGCUACACACGUGCUACAAUGGUUGGUACAACGAGUUGCGAGUCGGUGACGGCAAGCUAAUCUCUUAAAGCCAAUCUCAGUUCGGAUUGUAGGCUGCAACUCGCCUACAUGAAGUCGGAAUCGCUAGUAAUCGCGGAUCAGCACGCCGCGGUGAAUACGUUCCCGGGCCUUGUACACACCGCCCGUC
rnacentral:rRNA from 1 species